GGCGAACGGGUGAGUAACACGCUGGGUAACCUGCCCAUCAGAGGGGGAUAACAUCCGGAAACGGAUGCUAAAACCGCAUAGGUCUUCGAACCGCAUGGUUUGAAGAGGAAAAGAGGCGCAAGCUUCUGCUGAUGGAUGGACCCGCGGUGCAUUAGCUAGUUGGUGAGGUAACGGCUCACCAAGGCCGUGAUGCAUAGCCGACCUGAGAGGGUGAUCGGCCACAUUGGGACUGAGACACGGCCCAAACUCCUACGGGAGGCAGCAGUAGGGAAUCUUCCGCAAUGGACGCAAGUCUGACGGAGCAACGCCGCGUGAGUGAAGAAGGUUUUCGGAUCGUAAAACUCUGUUGUUAGAGAAGAACAAGUGCUAGAGUAACUGUUAGCGCCUUGACGGUAUCUAACCAGAAAGCC
rnacentral:rRNA from 1 species